GCAUAUCAAUAAGCGGAGGAAAAGAAACCAACAGGGAUUGCCCUAGUAACGGCGAGUGAAGCGGCAACAGCUCAAAUUUGAAAUCUGGCGUAAGCCCGAGUUGUAAUUUGUAGAGGAUGCUUCUGGGUAGCGGCCGGUCUAAGUUCCUUGGAACAGGACGUCAUAGAGGGUGAGAAUCCCGUAUGUGACUGGCUUGCACCCUCCACGUAGCUCCUUCGACGAGUCGAGUUGUUUGGGAAUGCAGCUCUAAAUGGGAGGUAAAUUUCUUCUAAAGCUAAAUACCGGCCAGAGACCGAUAGCGCACAAGUAGAGUGAUCGAAAGAUGAAAAGCACUUUGGAAAGAGAGUUAAAAAGCACGUGAAAUUGUUGAAAGGGAAGCGCCCGCAACCAGACUUUGCGGCGGUGUUCGGCUGGUCUUCUGACCGGUUUACUCGCCGCCGUGAGGCCAUCAUCGUCUGGGACCGCUGGAUAAGACCUGAGGAAUGUAGCUCCCUUCGGGGUGUGUUAUAGCCUCUGGUGAUGCAGCGCGUCUCGGGCGAGGUCCGCGCUUCGGCAAGGAUGAUGGCGUAAUGGUUGUCGGCGGCCCGUCUUGAAACACGGACCAAGGAGUCUAACAUCUAUGCGAGUGUUCGGGUGUCAAACCCCUACGCGUAAUGAAAGUGAACGGAGGUGGGAACUUUUUGUGCACCAUCGACCGAUCCUGAUGUCCUCGGAUGGAUUUGAGUAAGAGCAUAGCUGUUGGGACCCGAAAGAUGGUGAACUAUGCCUGAAUAGGGUGAAGCCAGAGGAAACUCUGGUGGAGGCUCGCAGCGGUUCUGACGUGCAAAUCGAUCGUCAAAUUUGGGUAUAGGGGCGAAAGACUAAUCGAACCAUCUAGUAGCUGGUUCCUGCCGAA
rnacentral:rRNA from 1 species